GAAGGCCAGUGUUGGUGGUGGUGCUCCUUCCCUGCUCCCACAUCUGGCUGUGUUUGCGACCGGCAGUGGCCGGAAAAAUUAAGGCUUUUCGGGAUCGCCGAGAAGGAAAGACCGGGCGGAUGCAAGCAAGAAGGGAGACGCUAGGGCUUCUUUCCUCACCCAGGUGGGUCCUCUUUAUUUUACUGCUUCCUUCUGCUUCCUCUUCGCGUUGCUACAUUGAGGAAGAGGCUACGACAGGGCCUCUAUUUCCCUCCUCUCGCUGGGAGGCUGUGAUUUCUGGUCUCGUUCAUACGCUGGAUCGAAGACACGGCUCGUCCUUUCUGUGAUUUUCUCGUCGGGAAACUGUUCAUCGUACGCGCUGUUGUAUCUGUGACGAUCAAGCGUCGGGGUGCAAAAUGUCAUGUGUUCUACCAUAUGAUUCUUGUUCAAAGUUGUUUCCUCGCACUAGCCAAAAGUAAAGAUAGGGCUUCAACAUAACAAUAUACCAUGCUUUGAUUUGACACAAAGGCCAAGGGUAUCGAUGGAUUCAUGCUGUUCUCAUCUAGUGGGAGAAGUUUACACUACAGAGUGAAUAUGUUCUAGCGCCAAAGGAUCUGGGGAAUCCUGAUCUGUUGUUUCCUCUCCGACGCCAUUGAAUGCAGCUGUUGUGUGCAAAAGCAAUCUAAUAAGAAGUGGGAAAUUAGUUGACCAUAGAGUUCAGAGCAGUUUUGGCUUUCAACAGCCCUCGGUAAUCAAAAUCUUUUCCAGUCUGAAUCUCAUUUAGCUUGUGAUCUGACACACUUUCAGUACUGCAUUGGGCAGUUCAGCUGAUUUCAUUUGAAAGAGGAUGUGUGGAUCCUAACAAAUCUCGAUUUGGUCAAAGUAGAGGUCUUCCCCUUUUUCUUAAUCUCUCUCAGCCAAAGCCUCAUGUAAAAAACUUCCUAGACUGAGACUUGAGUCAUGUAUAAAUCCUCAAGUCCGACGACAGGUGAUGAUACGAAGGCUGCUGCUGAAUCUUCCUGGACUGAUACUUGAGGGGCUAAAAGAUUGGCAGAGCCAUCUGAUUGCAAGACUGAGGCUCAACUCUUUGGGGUCGUCAUUCAUCCAAGGCAGGUUGCUGAAAUUUCACAAAAUGAAGCUUCUGGAUCUAAGGAAGCUACCGAUUUCGGGCCCCUGCCGAUUCCCUCAAGUCUGCUAGUGAC
rnacentral:lncRNA from 1 species